GGUCAAACACAAGGAGGCAGACAUGGGACUGACUAAUUCUAUCAAUGUCCUUAUCGUCAGUGCGGCGUUUGUGUUCAUUACCACCAUGCUGUUCAUCUGACCGGGAGUGAGAUGAGCCAAGAGCGAUGAAGCGGCCAACCAAGGCCGCUCAGGCAGGAAUGGUUUCAGAAAUCAAAAAGGCGCAUGACGGCCCCCGUCAUGCGCCUU
rfam:Rhizobium sp. PDO1-076 strain PDO-076 ctg66, whole genome shotgun sequence.